UGGGUAACCUGGCCCUCGAUGAUUGGGACAACCCGAGGAAACUCGGGCUAAUACCAAAUGUGACCUCCGGCCAUAAGGCCGCUGGGGAAAGGAAGCUUCGGCCUCCGCAUCGGGAUGGGCCCGCGGCCCAUUAGCUUGUUGGUGAGGUAAUGGCUCACCAAGGCUACGAUGGGUAGCUGGUCUGAGAGGACGAUCAGCCACACUGGGACUGAGACACGGCCCAG
rnacentral:rRNA from 1 species